GACGUAGGUGGCGAACGUUAUCCGGAAUUAUUGGGCGUAAAGGGUGCGUAGAUGGUGUAGCAAGUUAUCGGUGGCAAAUCGAGGCUCAACCUCGUGGAAGUCGGUAAUACUGCUAUGCUAGAGGAUAGGAGAGGUUAACGGAACUCCCUGUGGAGCGGUGAAAUGCGUAGAUAUAGGGAAGAACACCAAUCAGGCGAAGGCAGUUAACUAUUCUACUCCUGGCAUUGAGGCAUGAAAGCAUGGGGAGCAAAACGG
rnacentral:rRNA from 1 species